GAUGAACGCUGGCGGCGUGCCUAAUACAUGCAAGUCGAGCGAACGGACGAGAAGCUUGCUUCUCUGAUGUUAGCGGCGGACGGGUGAGUAACACGUGGAUAACCUACCUAUAAGACUGGGAUAACUUCGGGAAACCGUAGCUAAUACCGGAUAAUAUUUUGAACCGCAUGGUUCAAAAGUGAAAGACGGUCUUGCUGUCACUUAUAGAUGGAUCCGCGCUGCAUUAGCUAGUUGGUAAGGUAACGGCUUACCAAGGCAACGAUGCAUAGCCGACCUGAGAGGGUGAUCGGCCACACUGGAACUGAGACACGGUCCAGACUCCUACGGGGGGCAGCAGUAGGGAAUCUUCCGCAAUGGGCGAAAGCCUGACGGAGCAACGCCGCGUGAGUGAUGAAGGUCUUCGGAUCGUAAAACUCUGUUAUUAGGGAAGAACAUAUGUGUAAGUAACUGUGCACAUCUUGACGGUACCUAAUCAGAAAGCCACGGCUAACUACGUG
rnacentral:rRNA from 1 species